rnacentral:rRNA from 1 species
AACGAACGCUGGCGGCAUGCCUAACACAUGCAAGUCGAACGAGACCUUCGGGUCUAGUGGCGCACGGGUGCGUAACGCGUGGGAACCUGCCCUUAGGUUCGGAAUAACUCCCCGAAAGGGGUGCUAAUACCGGAUAAUGUCUUCGGACCAAAGAUUUAUCGCCUUUGGAUGGGCCCGCGUUGGAUUAGCUAGUUGGUAGGGUAAAAGCCUACCAAGGCGACGAUCCAUAGCUGGUCUGAGAGGAUGAUAAGCCACACUGGGACUGAGACACGGCCCAGACUACUACGGGAGGGAGGAGUGGGGAAUAUUGGAAAAUGGGGGAAAGGCUGAACCAGCAAUGACGGGUGAGUGAUGAAGGGCGUAGGGUUGGAAAGCUCUUUUACCCGGGAUGAUAAUGACAGUACCGGGAGAAUAAGCUCCGGCUAACUCCGUG